GAUGAACGCUGGCGGCGUACCUAAUACAUGCAAGUCGAGCGAACAGACGAGGAGCUUGCUCCUCUGACGUUAGCGGCGGACGGGUGAGUAACACGUGGAUAACCUACCUAUAAGACUGGGAUAACUUCGGGAAACCGGAGCUAAUACCGGAUAACAUGUUGAACCGCAUGGUUUAACAGUGAAAGACGGUCUUGCUGUCACUUAUAGAUGGAUCCGCGCCGCAUUAGCUAGUUGGUAAGGUAACGGCUUACCAAGGCAACGAUGCGUAGCCGACCUGAGAGGGUGGUCGGCCACACUGGAACGGAGACACGGUCCAUGCUCCUACGGGAGGCAGCAGUAGGGAAUCUUCCGCAAUGGGCGAAAGCCUGACGGAGCAACGCCGCGUGAGUGAAGAAGGCCUUCGGAUCGUAAAACUCUGUUAUUAGGGAAGAACAAAUGUGUAAGUAACUAUGCACGUCUUGACGGUACCUAAUCAGAAAGCCACGGCUAACUACGUG
rnacentral:rRNA from 1 species